AGAAAUUUAUGCCACAUCAGUACCAUCAAUGGUGGAAUUUCUCUCAAAAUUAGUAUCAUCAAUGGUGGAGUUUCUCAUACAUCCGAUUCAUUCCCACACAUUAUCCUUCGCUCAAUGAGCAUCUUCCGAAUCUUCUUGGUCUUCCUAAUGGCAAUAGCUCUAGAUUAAGCGCAAUGAUUUCACCGGCAUGGUAUUGAGUAGAAACAAAGUCUGAAAACUCAAAUUUUUAAUGGCUGAUGCAAGAUACGUUGUCGUUCUGUUAAACCAUCACCAAGAGAAGUAGAGAAUAUCGUCUUAGAAUUUGGGAUCUGCUUCGACUCCGAUUGUUUUGUUUCAGCAAUUCAUGUGCUGUGAUGACAACAACGAACGUCGGUGGUGGCUCUGCCGUGGAAUGGAUAGUCAUUGGUCUCGAUUUUGGGCUCUGGAACCCGUGAGGUUAAAGAACACGGACGAUUGAUUUUUGCUUCAUAAUGGAGAGAGAAGAGAACGAUAGGUCGAAAAUGUGAAAGAGAUUUCAAUUCUUGGAGGACGAUUAAUAAAAACUAAAAAGAAAUCUUUUGUUUCAUCUCUGAGUUCGGAUGAAGAAGAUGAUGGGCACGACAAAACGGGUUGAAAUCGAUUUUAUUAGAGAAUCGGGUUGUAAUCUGGUUUAUAUUAGGUUUAAUCCGGUUUAUUA